rnacentral:rRNA from 1 species
AUUGAACGCUGGCGGCAGGCCUAACACAUGCAAGUCGAGCGGAUGAAGGGAGCUUGCUCCUGGAUUCAGCGGCGGACGGGUGAGUAAUGCCUAGGAAUCUGCCUGGUAGUGGGGGAUAACGUCCGGAAACGGGCGCUAAUACCGCAUACGUCCUGAGGGAGAAAGUGGGGGAUCUUCGGACCUCACGCUAUCAGAUGAGCCUAUGUCGGAUUAGCUAGUUGGUGGGGUAAAGGCCUACCAAGGCGACGAUCCGUAACUGGUCUGAGAGGAUGAUCAGUCACACUGGAACUGAGACACGGUCCAGACUCCUACGGGAGGCAGCAGUGGGGAAUAUUGGACAAUGGGCGAAAGCCUGAUCCAGCCAUGCCGCGUGUGUGAAGAAGGUCUUCGGAUUGUAAAGCACUUUAAGUUGGGAGGAAGGGCAGUAAGUUAAUACCUUGCUGUUUUGACGUUACCAACAGAAUAAGCACCGGCUAACUUCGUG